UACGUAGGGCGCAAGCGUUGUCCGGAAUUAUUGGGCGUAAAGAGCUCGUAGGCGGCCUGUCGCGUCUGCUGUGAAAUCCCGGGGCUCAACCCCGGGCCUGCAGUGGAUACGGGCUGGCUGGAGGCAGGCAGGGGAGAACGGAAUUCCUGGUGUAGCGGUGAAAUGCGCAGAUAUCAGGAGGAACACCGGUGGCGAAGGCGGCGUUCUGGACUGCAACUGACACUGAUGAACGAAAGCCAGGGGAGCAAACGGG
rnacentral:rRNA from 1 species